CCCUUAGAUGUCCUGGGCCGCACGCGCGUUACACUGAUGCAUUCAACGAGCUUAUAACCUUGGCCGAGAGGCCCGGGCAAUCUUGUUAACGUGCAUCGUGAUAGGGAUAGAUUAUUGAAAUUAUUAAUCUUGAACGAGGAAUUCCUAGUAAACGCAGAUCAUCAAUCUGCAUUGAUUACGUCCCUGCCCUUUGUACACACCGCCCGUCGCACCUACCGAUUGAAUGCUCAGGUGAGCCAUUCGGACUUUCAUCAUGCUGGUUUCCAGUUUUGAUGAAGGAAAGUCUUGCGAACCUUAUCAUUUAGAGGAAGGAGAAGUCGUAACA
rnacentral:rRNA from 1 species